UACGUAGGGAGCAAGCGUUGUCCGGAUUUAUUGGGCGUAAAGAGCGUGUAGGCGGCCAUGUAGGUCCGUUGUGAAAACUCGAGGCUCAACCUCGAGACGCCGAUGGAAACCAUGUGGCUAGAGUCCGGAAGAGGAGAGUGGAAUUCCUGGUGUAGCGGUGAAAUGCGCAGAUAUCAGGAAGAACACCCGUGGCUAAGGCGGCUCUCUAGUACGGUACUGACGCUGAGACGCGAAAGCGUGGGGAGCGAACAGG
rnacentral:rRNA from 1 species